rnacentral:rRNA from 1 species
GACGAACGCUGGCGGCGUGCUUAACACAUGCAAGUCACGGGGGCUCAGCAAUGGGCAACCGGCGAACGGGUGCGUAACACGUGACCAACCUGCCCUCGUGUGGGGGAUAGCCGGGCUAACGCCCGGGUAAUACCGCAUACGGUCCUCUGGGGGAGUCCCUGGGGGAAGAAAGCUCCGGCGCACGGGGAGGGGGUCGCGGCCUAUCAGCUAGUUGGGGGUACGGCCGU